ensembl:snRNA U6 U6 spliceosomal RNA
GGGCUCAGUUCGUCAGCACACACGCUAAAACUGGAACAAUACGGAGAAUAUUAGCAUGGCCCCUGUCCAAGGAUGACCUGCAAAUUCAUGAACAUUCCUUUUUCUUU